AACGAACGCUGGCGGCAUGCCUAACACAUGCAAGUCGAACGAUGCCUUCGGGCAUAGUGGCGCACGGGUGCGUAACGCGUGGGAAUCUGCCUUUCGGUUCGGAAUAACUCAGGGAAACUUGAGCUAAUACCGGAUAGCGUCGCAAGACCAAAGAUUUAUCACCGAAAGAUGAGCCCGCGUAGGAUUAGCUAGUUGGUGAGGUAAAGGCUCACCAAGGCGACGAUCCUUAGCUGGUCUGAGAGGAUGAUCAGCCACACUGGGACUGAGACACGGCCCAGACUCCUACGGGAGGCAGCAGUGGGGAAUAUUGGACAAUGGGCGAAAGCCUGAUCCAGCAAUGCCGCGUGAGUGAUGAAGGCCUUAGGGUUGUAAAGCUCUUUUACCCGGGAAGAUAAUGACGGUACCGGGAGAAUAAGCCCCGGCUAACUCCGUG
rnacentral:rRNA from 1 species